ACCAAUUGUCUUAUUUUAAUAACUUCUGAUUCAGUACAUUUUCAGUGGUGGAAGAGACCCUCCAGAGUUGCUGCAGUGUGUGUUCUACUGGCUGUCAUCAUAGGCCUGUGGGAUUCCUAUGCAGAAAGAGACCAGCUACAGACCAGUUACAACACCCUGACUGAAGAGAGAGACCAGCUACAGAAUAGUCUAAAUACCAGGACCACUGAGAGAGACCAGUUACAGACCAGGCUUUGGUUCUAUGAGAAACCCUGUCUGGAUGGAUGGUGGAAGUUUGGCACCAGCUGUUACUUUGUCUCCUCCACGAUGGACACAGGUGGGGGAGGUCAGAAGGCAUGCAGAGCAAUGGGUGCAGAUGAUGUUAUUAUAAACAGCAGAGAAGAACAGAUAUUUAUCCAUGGAUUUAAGAAGAAUGUCUGGAUUGGUACAUAUAAAAAAGACGGAAUCUGGGAGUGGAUUGGCAUAACACUAUUUAAACCUACCUAUUGGAUGGAAGGGGAACCAAAUAACAUGCAUGACGAGUGUGUUGAGAUCUCACAGACGGCAUCAGACCCAUUGAAGAGUUGGAAGUUUGCACCAUGUGCUAUUCCAAAAUACUGGGUGUGUGAAAAACCGUUCACCCCGUAGUCUAAUUAUAAUAGCUAAAUGUAAUUCCCUAUCUUAUAGAGUUGAACUGGUUUUCCCUGUGUUAGGCUGAACCUGUUUUUGUUUCUAUUUGUAACUACAUUGAAAGACGUAUUUGAUGUCUUUAAAGAGACCAUGUCUAUGUGGAGUUUGUCCACCAUUCAUCAGGCCCUGGGGAGUGGAACUGUGGUCUAGUUGGCUCUAACUCUGGUUAAUAAAAAAAUGUCUUUACCAUAUUUACAAUUUUUACCAUUAUGGUGUGCACAUAACAAGUUAACAAGAUACUGUUUUCAUUGAAGUUUUUACAGCUAUCAAUACAUUUCAAAUGCAGCAGUGUUCUAUGUUUGCUUCCAUUCUGUUCCAUAUGUACCAUGUGUUCAUUCUACUGAUUAAAUACAUCUAUAUACUGUGA